AUCUUGUCUGCAAUGUGUGGCCAGGCGUUGUCUUGCAAUGAAAUUGGAGUGGAUCUGUUGACUAAUCUAGGCUGUUCUUUUUGUAAGUUUCUGCAUCAUUUGGUCCAGUUGGCUGUAGUACACUUUGGCUGUGAUUGAUGAGCCAGGUUUAGUGAAAUCAUAAUGGAUCACACUUGCCCCUGACCACCAAACACACACCAUCAGCUUCUUUUGAUGUAUUUUGCCUUUGGACUCUGCUUUGG